GACGAACGCUGGCGGCGCGCUUAACACAUGCAAGUCGAACGGAAAGGCCUGCUUUCCCUUGUGGAUUGCGGGUACUCGAGUGGCGAACGGGUGAGUAACACGUGAGUGAUCUGCCCCCAACUUGGGUAUAAGCCUGGGAAACUGGGUCUAAUUCCCGAUAGGACUGCAGGGUGGUGUCUGUGGUGGAAAACGAUUUUCUAGUGGUUGGGGAUGAGCCCGCGGCCUAUCAGCUUGUUGGUGGGGUAAUUGCCUACCAAGGCGGGGACGGGUAGCCGGCCUGUGAGGGUGGACGGCCGCAUUGAGACACGGUUCCGACUCCGACGCGAAGGAGAGGCAGGGGAGGGGCAGAAAGGGGAGUAGGCGGAAGGGUGAUGCGGCGAGGGAGUGAGGAAGAUGAUGGCAUUGGAGUUGUAAGUUCCUUUGGAACGAGAGAAGGGUAAGUGGUUGGGAAGGUGGUGACGGUAGUGAAAGAAAAAGCACCGGCUAACUACGUG
rnacentral:rRNA from 1 species